AAACUGGUUAGAGUAUGUAAGGCUCCCAGGGAACUCCUCUAUAUAUCUUGAUACAUCUUUUAUUUAGGUGUGAACUAGAUAAUUGCAUUUUCUAGCUGGUAUUUAGCCUUCAGCACUGGUAUCUGAAGUUCCAGCCUGAAAAGUACAGACUAUGCUAUUGGUAUAUCUGGAAAAGGAUCAGUCUAGCCUAUCUGUUAAAGGAAAUGAAAGUAAACACGAUUUAGGCAAAAGUAGAAGUUUUAGGCCAAAUCUUCCCUCAGAUUUUAAAUAAAAGAAAAACUGAAAACACGAUAACCUAAAUGAAGCCUUGGCAGAUCAUGCCGGAUCAUUAACUUCUUUGAUGAAGUAUCUGCUUUUCCAGAUAAAGCAAAGGCUGAAGGUCAAAGACAGUUGCACUAGAAACUGUGAUUGAACUGCACUAGAAAUAAUUAAAUACCACUAGAUAUACUUGAGAUUUGAGCAAGAGCUGGUAAGUAGGUGAGGAAAUGUUUACACGAAAGCUGGUAAGGCCUGCAGACAAGCUGAAUGAAGGUCAACAGGGAGAUGCACAGUCACCCAGCCCAGUCCUUAGCAGGUUCAUCUGGCCACCCCAUUGCUGGUAUGGAUGCAACCUGCAGGGAGGUGCUAUUGGCCAUGGGGCAAGAUCUGGCUGGCAUCUCCAGAGGACUGAGCAACUUUCCUCUGAAUUUAGGAAAUGCAAAAGGAAGUCUGAGUGUUAUCAGUGGAUUUAUCUGUCGGAAAUGAGAACAAAAAGAAAACUUUGGUUUGUUAGUCAGACUGAGAUUGAGUCAGUCUCUUUGAGCUAGCAAGGUGAGGCAGCUGCUUAUGAAGUCAUGUGAUUGUGGUGCAUGGUAAGUGAGAGAGUGCCACUAGAGCUGGAGAUGCACCAGUGCCAGACAUGCCAGGGAGUCAUGGGCAGAAGUGGCUGUUACCUGGGCCAGGACAGAGUCCAAACGAUUAACAAAAAUACUGAAGCUGAAAGAUACGGAACUGAAUACAUCUUUCCCGUCUGACAGAUCGAGGAGUACCUCAGUGAGUUGAUCACUCAUUAUGUAUGAGUGAAGGUGAGAGAGUGUAAAGGCUUGAAUCGUCCGUUGUUUCCAGCAAGUAGUUGGUGUGGGGAGAGCAGUUUGUCCCUGGAGC